UGAAUUGACAUCAAAAUAUUAAUCUUAAAGUUGCUUUUAAAAAGCAGUACAAUAUAUUUCGUAUGAAAUACAAAAUUUUGUGAGAAUAAUGAUAAAACGCGCAUUACUGAUAUCUAUACAACUGACCACCGCGAUAAUGGCUGUUUUAUGGAUCAGACCACAACAAAGCGAAUCAUGGCCUCCGAGACUCUAAUAUCAAAUUGAAAAUUUAUUAUACAAUAGACAGUCAAAAUUCAUCUUCAACAUUAUCGGAUUUCAACAAUUGCCUUAAAAUAAAUAUUAUAUAGUUUAGUCAAAUAUUUCAAUAAAAAAAUUUUUCAAAUUUUGGAAAUC